rnacentral:rRNA from 1 species
GGCGAACGGGUGAGGAUCACGUGAGAAACCUGCCCCAAACUUUGGGAUAACAGUUGGAAACGAUUGCUAAUACCGAAUAUCGUCGAAGAACCGCAUGGUUCAUUGACGAAAGGAAAUCCGGUUUGGGAGGGUCUCGCGGCCUAUCAGCUUGUUGGUGGGGUAAUGGCCUACCAAGGCAACGACGGGUAGCUGGUCUGAGAGGAUGAUCAGCCACACUGGGACUGAGACACGGCCCAGACUCCUACGGGAGGCAGCAGUGGGGAAUCUUGCGCAAUGGGCGAAAGCCUGACGCAGCAACGCCGCGUGCGGGAUGAAGGCCUUCGGGCUGUAAACCGCUUUCAGCAGGAACGAAAAUGACGGUACCUGCAGAAGAAGGAGCGGCCAACUACGUGCCAGCAGCCGCGGUGACACGUAGGCUCCAAGCGUUGUCCGGAUUUAUUGGGCGUAAAGAGCUCGUAGGCGGUUUAGUAAGUCGGGUGUUAAAACUCUGGGCUCAACCCAGAGAGGCCAUCCGAUACUGCUGUGACUUGAGUUCAGGAGGGGAGCGGGGAAUUCCUAGUGUAGCGGUGAAAUGCGCAGAUAUUAGGAGGAACACCGGUGGCGAAGGCGCCGCUCUGGA